UACGGGGGGGGCAAGCGUUGUUCGGAAUUACUGGGCGUAAAGGGCGCGUAGGCGGCCUUCUAAGUCGAACGUGAAAUCCCCGGGCUCAACCCGGGAACUGCGUCCGAGACUGGAAGGCUCGAAUCCGGGAGAGGGAUGCAGAAUUCCAGGUGUAGCGGUGAAAUGCGUAGAUAUCUGGAGGAAUACCGGUGGCGAAGGCGGCAUCCUGGACCGGCAUUGACGCUGAGGAGCGAAAGCCAGGGGAGCAA
rnacentral:rRNA from 1 species